rnacentral:rRNA from 1 species
GUAGGUGGCAAGCGUUGUCCGGAAUUAUUGGGCGUAAAGCGCGCGCAGGCGGUCCUUUAAGUCUGAUGUGAAAGCCCACGGCUCAACCGUGGAGGGUCAUUGGAAACUGGGGGACUUGAGUACAGAAGAGGAAAGCGGAAUUCCAAGUGUAGCGGUGAAAUGCGUAGAGAUUUGGAGGAACACCAGUGGCGAAGGCGGCUUUCUGGUCUGUAACUGACGCCGAGGCGCGAAAGCGUGGGGAGCAAACAGGGAUUAGAUACCCUGGUAGUCCACGCCGUAAACGAUGAGUGCUAAGUGUUAGGGGGUUUCCCGCCCCUUAGUGCUGCAGCUAACGCAUUAAGCACUCCGCCUGGGGAGUACGGCCGCAAGGCUG